UACGGAGGGUGCAAGCGUUGUCCGGAAUCACUGGGCGUAAAGGGCUCGUAGGCGGCGUGUCGCGUCGGGAGUGAAAGCCCGUUGCUUAACGGCGGGUUGGCUUUCGGUACGGGCAGUGCUGGAGUGCGGCAGGGGAGACUGGAAUUCCUGGUGUAGAGGUGAAAUUCGUAGAUAUUCGCAAGAACACCAGUGGCGAAGGCGGCUCACUGGCCCGAUACUGACGGCUGAGGCACGGAAAGCGUGGGGAGCAAACAGGG
rnacentral:rRNA from 1 species